GAGAAUGACAGUCACAACAAAUACGGAUGCUUCCGAUCUGAACCUAAUCUGGAUCUUGUAUCAACUCAGCAUGUUAAAAUGGAGACCAUCUCUACUGACACAGAUGUAUCUCUGUUUGAUGAGGAAGCAGUACACAGACCUACAAGGGACGUAUCUUUUAUGUCAUCUGCAACAGAAGAUAAAACGAUGGACCUCUACCCCGUCUGUAAGAAAAUAGGUGAAAGGUGCUGUCAGGUGAAAUCAAUAGGUGAGGCAAAAGAAAAACUUGACUUGUGUUUAUUGACCAAAGGUGCAAUGAUUGAAGUGGGCCAUUUUGCCAAAAAAGUGUAUGGAAUUUACAGGCAGAUUAUCAUAGAUGUCCUCGAGUACAAUUUUGAUAUUGAUUUGCAAAAGGAUAAAGAUCUUCUUGAAAACAUCCUCCUCAAUUUACGAUUAGUCGAAAAGAAAACAAGGCCGAAUUUGAAAGAUAUGUUAAGUAAAGAUAAACAUGAAUUGUUACAGGAAACUUUAACAAUUGUGCCUCUCAAAAAAAGGAAAUAUGCAGUAAUUUCAGGUGACAUGGAGGUCACUAGGGCAUCAGCUGUGUCAAAAGAUCAAAGACUUAAAGAAGUAACAAAAAGAAGACGACUAGAUUUAAUGAGGAAAGAGAAACUUUCACAGCAAGGAAGACGAAGACAGACCAAUUUGAAAGAGCCAGACAAGUUUCUCAGUGUGUUAAGACAGAGAGCGUCUUUACUGAGACUGAUUCAACACAGUUUUCAGAUGAGACUGCAAUACUUGACCAUGAGAAUGGAUCUGCUGACAUUUGCAUAAAGGAAGAGACUGAUCUGGACUUUAUAUCUCUUCAGGAUGUUAAGAUGGAGACCAUCAACACAGAGACCGAUGUAAUACAGUGUAAUGCUGAAGCAGUGCACAGACGUAUUAUGAACCAAUCCUUAAUGGUCUCCACAGUGAAAAAAACAGCUGCUCUACCUGGGAAAUCUGAAAGAAAUGUCAGGUGUAAAAAGUCAGGUCAAGGAAAAUUAGUUUCUAACAGGAUACAGAAAGCAAAUAACAUAAAGGAAGUGAAAUAUCAGACGAUGGCCAAUGACAUCUGCUCAGUAAAUGACUAAAAAAUAACUGAAUUAAAGCAGCCCUCCGCUGGAGGGAAGGUUGAGGACCCAUACCCCAACUGCAAGAAAAUAGGUGUAGAUUUCCAUGUUGGAUCUGGAGCAAAACAGAAACUUGCCAUAGGUCUACUGACUAAUGGGGUAAUGACUGAGGUUUCACAUUUUGCCGAAGAGAUGAAUCGAUCUCACGCACAUGUCAUCUGUGAUAUUUUAGAUUACAACAUUGAUCUUGGUUUGCAAAAUGAUCAACGCCAUGAAUUCGCAAUUCGGACUAUGGCGAAAGUAAAGUACUUGAUGGGGAAGUCCAGACUGCAAAGACCUGACUUGAUAACAAAAGUCUUCGAACUUCCUGAUCCAAGGGCAAUACCUGUAUCAAAAACACAUGUAAGCUCCAACCUUUUAAAUGACAAUGUGUCAUUUAGUCUGAGAUUGAAUAAAGAUGUAGAAAUACAGCAAUUGGUUAUAAAGAAGGAGGAGGAAUGUGUCUCUAUAUAAUGUCCUUUGAAGAAGAUGGGUUGGUUGAGUAUGAAAAGGCCCAAAAGGACAACACUGUCUCUCUGAUGAACUUUGACCUUGAUGCCAGCUAGGUAUCUCCUCAUCAUGUCAAAGAGACCAUGUUUAAUAAAACAGAUGUUGAAACAGCAACACUUGCCCUCAAGAAUGGACCUACUAACAUCUGUAUUAAGGAUGAACCCAAUCUGGACCUCGUAUCAACUCUGCAUGUUAAUGUAACAGUAUAACUUUACGUCGUCCCCUCGCCCGGACACGGGCGCGAACCAGGGACCCUCUGCACACAUCAACAACUGACACCCACGAAGCGUCGUUACCCAUCGCUCCACAAAAGCCGCGGCCCUUGCAGAGCAAGGGGCAACCCUACCUAAUGUCUCAGACAAGUGACGUAACUGAUUGAAAUGCUACUAGCGCGUACCCGCUAACUAGCUAGCCAUUUCACAUCCGUUACACUAAGAUGGAGACCAUCUCUACUGACACAGAUGUAUCACUAUCUGAUGAGGAAGCAGUACACACCUACAAGGGACCAAUCUUUUAUGACAUCUGCAACAGAAGAUAAAACAACGGACCUCUACCCCCUUUUUAAGAAAAUAGGUUUAGACCUUGACGUGAAAUCAAAAGGUGAGGGAAAAGAAAAACUUGACUUCCGUUUAUUGACUAGAGGUGUAAUGCUCGAAGUUGCAAAGUUUGCGGCCGAUGUGUGUGGAACCUACAGGCAGAUAGUCUCUGCUGUUCUCGAGUACAAUUUUGAUCUUGAUUUCUCCCAAAAAAUAGAUCUCCUUGAAAAUAUAAUUCAUAACUUAAGAUCAGUCAAGAAGAAAAUGAAAAGUCGAAGUUGGAGACUGAAAUGCAAAAAAGUUGAAUUGCUUUAUUUUAUUAUAGAUUUUUACUGGACUGGGACAGGCUGUUUUAUCUUUUCAUAUUUUUGUUGGAGGGAUCAAUAAGUUAUCAAGUUUUCAUCAAGUCUAUAUUCAUCAAUUUUUGACCUAAGGAAGUACACUUCUUUAAUCCACGAUUUCAAAGUAAAGAAUAAGAUAUUCUUGAAAAGGAUGAGUUUCACUGGAUCAAAAGGUGAUGCUAAUAUAUGUUUCCAGCAGCAGUGUCCCUAAAGCUGCAGGGUCUUAUCGUUCCUUCUUCAUAUUCAACUCUUCAUAAGUGAAUACCUCAAAGCCCUAAAGAAGUGUUGUCAAUCUUUUUAGUCACAGUGGUGGUGAAGGAGGCCAUCUACAGUAUGACAGGAGCAGAGGUGUGUUCACCCAGAGAAGGAGACCAUCUACAGUAUGACAGGAGCAGAGGUGUGUUCACCCAGAGAAGGAGACUAUCUACAGUAUGACAGGAGCAGAGGUGUGUUCACCCAGAGAAGGAGACCAUCUACAGUAUGACAGGAGCAGAGGUGUGUUCACCCAGAGAAGGAGACCAUCUACAGUAUGACAGGAGCAGAGGUGUGUUCACCCAGAGAAGGAGGCCAUCUACAGUAUGACAGGAGCAGAGGUGUGUUCACCCAGAGAAGGAGACCAUCUACAGUAUGACAGGAGCAGAGGUGUGUUCACCCAGAGAAGGAGACCAUCUACAGUAUGACAGGAGCAGAGGUGUGUUCACCCAGAGAAGGAGACCAUCUACAGUAUGACAGGAGCAGAGGUGUGUUCACCCAGAGAAGGAGACCAUCUAUAGUAUGACAGGAGCAGAGGUGUGUUCACCCAGAGAAGGAGACCAUCUACAGUAUGACAGGAGCAGAGGUGUGUUCACCCAGAGAAGGAGACCAUCUACAGUAUGACAGGAGCAGAGGUGUGUUCACCCAGAGAAGGAGGCCAUCUACAGUAUGACAGGAGCAGAGGUGUGUUCACCCAGAGAAGGAGACUAUCUACAGUAUGACAGGAGCAGAGGUGUGUUCACCCAGAGAAGGAGACCAUCUACAGUAUGACAGGAGCAGAGGUGUGUUCACCCAGAGAAGGAGACCAUCUACAGUAUGACAGGAGCAGAGGUGUGUUCACCCAGAGAAGGAGACCAUCUACAGUAUGACAGGAGCAGAGGUGUGUUCACCCAGAGAAGGAGACCAUCUACAGUAUGACAGGAGCAGAGGUGUGUUCACCCAGAGAAGGAGACUAUCUACAGUAUGACAGGAGCAGAGGUGUGUUCACCCUGAGAAGGAGGCCAUCUACAGUAUGACAGGAGCAGAGGUGUGUUCACCCAGAGAAGGAGACCAUCUACAGUAUGACAGGAGCAGAGGUGUGUUCACCCAGAGAAGGAGGCCAUCUACAGUAUGACAGGAGCAGAGGUGUGU